UUUUUAAUAAUACUCUUGAAAUUUUUAAUUUCACUUAAAAAUAUAAUUAGCCUUACGAAAAAUGAAAUGGUUAAUUGUGGAUGUAUAUAGAGAAAUAAUAUUCAUACAGAAAAGGUUACAAUGGUACUCACAACUUAAAUAAUUGGAAAUGCAUAACCAUUUCAAAAAUCUAUCUUAUUGAAUGUCUUCUAGAUUUAGAUUUAAUUAUUGCAACUAUUAGAAAAAAUAGAUGAAUUUAUUUGUAAAUGCAUUUCUAAAAUAUAAAUGUUUAUUAUAAAUAUUAUAAAUACUUAUUUCACUAUUUAUUGGAAUAUGAAAGCUAUUUCACUUAUUUGAAUCACAUGUUUCUUAGUGUUGAAGAUGUUAGUGUUAUGAUAUAAAGUUAGUUCAUGAUUACAUUCUAUCAGAGUCAUUAUGACCAAGUUAUCUGGAGUUUGAUUUUUGUUGCGGCCGUUGUUGUAAAAAACAGAUUUAAGUUAUUAAUACACAAAUUAUGUAUCCAAAUUUUUACUACAAAUUUUCUAUAUUAAAAAGUAGAUUAUUGUAUUUGGAAAGAGACGAUUUUAAUUCUAGGAAAUAUGCAAAAUUCAUAUAAUGGAAUUGCUGUUAAGGAUCUAAUAUUAGCAUUAUUUACAGUACUUUUAAUUUUGGUUUAACUUGUUUAUAUGUUUCUUCCAUGUAAUUUAGAAGCAAUACUAUAAAACCCAUUAAACUACUCCUCCUAUACUACACUAUCAACUGGUACAUCAUGUGGAACUGUGUGGAGUUCUAUACAACCAACCUUCUAGUUUAUCAUUUACUCAAAUAAUUUAUGUUAUAUGUUUAUAUUGUUUUUUAAAAGAUAAAUUAGUGUACAAAUAAACACGUGAUCCUACAUUGAAUAAAAAUUCAAUAUUCUUGUGUUUAGCAAAAAAAAAAAGAGAUUGUCCCGAAUGCAGAUAACCACUAGGAAUGAGACUAUCCAAAUGCCUUGCCAAGUGGUUAUGAGAGAAGUAAAUUACAUAUUUCGAAAACCAUAAAAAAGAUGAGAAGAAAGAAAAAUAAAGAAUGAAUUAGAAAGAAAGAAUAUCAAAGAGAAAGAUAAGAAGAAAAAAUAACUGGAGAGUGAGAAAGAAGAAAAAAGAAAAGAGAAAAAAAAGAAAGAGAAGUAAAUAAGAGGGGAAUAAACUAUAUAUUUAUAUAUAAAAAAUAAAAGAGAAUAAGAUAGAAGAAGGAAGAAAGAAUAAGAAAUAAAGAAAAGGAAAGAGAAAGAGUAGAAGAAGAAAAAGAACAUGACAAAAGAAGAAAGAGCUUAAAGUCCCACACAGUGUUGUGAUUGCUUCAAAAUUAGAGUAUAAACAAUUUUUUAAAAUAUUUUUCCAACAAAACAUAUUAAAAAAGAGACACAAAAAUUUGAACUUUCUUAAUAAGUGUGAGAUAUUUACCUUCCAUUAUAAACAAUUACAGAGGAAUUAUAUAAUAAGAAAAGUAUGUGCCUGCGUGCUUCUAUAUGUCGUUAAAUAAAAUAAGCAACUAGAUUGAGACCCUUGCAAUGCACGGGUGUCGAAAAUUUGUAAACUCCCUUUAAAACCAUGUAUAUUGACUUUGGUAAUUUUGCGCUGAACAAUAUUUUUAUACUUUUGGAGUUUAUUUUAAAACUUCGAAGUAAAACAUAAAAAGAAUGUUAACUAAAUAAUUAUGAAGGAAGAAAUAAGAGUAUGUUGGAUUGAUAAAUGAUCAAGUUCUUCAGAGAAAAAUACAUGGAUGAGAGAUACCACGAUGUGCACUUUAAUUUAUCCCUUACAAAAAAAAAACUACUUACUAUGAAUUUACAUUUUUUUUUAAUAAUACUCUUGAAAUUUUUAAUUUCACUUAAAAAUAUAAUUAGCCUUACGAAAAAUGAAAUGGUUAAUUAUGGAUGUAUAUAGAGAAAUAAUAUUCAUACAGAAAAGGUUACAACGGUACUCACAACUUAAAUAAUUGGAAAUGCAUAACCAUUUCAAAAAUCUAUCUUAUUGAAUGUCUUCUAGAUUUAGGUUUAAUUAUUGCAACUAUUAGAAAAAAUAGAUGACUUUAUUUGUAAAUGCAUUUCUAAAAUAUAAAUGUUUAUUAUAAAUAUUAUUAAUACUUAUUUCACUAUUUAUUGGAAUAUGAAAGCUAUUUCACUUAUUUGAAUGACAUGUUUCUUAGUGUUGAAGAUGUUAGUGUUAUGAUAUAAAGUUAGUUCAUGAUUACAUUCUAUCAGAGUCAUUAUGACCAAGUUAUCUGGAGUUUGAUUUUUGUUGCGGCCGUUGUUGUAAAAAACAGAUUUAAGUUAUUAAUACACAAAUUAUGUAUCCAAAUCUUUACUACAAAUUUUCUAUAUUAAAAAGUAGAUUAUUGUAUUUUGAAAGAGACGAUUUUAAUUCUAGGAAAUAUGCAAAAUUCAUAUAAUGGAAUUGCCGUUAAGGAUCUAAUAUUAGCAUUAUUUACGGUACUUUUAAUUUUGGUUUAACUUGUUUAUACGUUUCUUCCAUAUAAUUUAGAAGCAAUACUAUAAAACCCAUCAAACUACUCCUCCUAUACUACACUAUCAACUGGUACGUCAUGUGGAACUGAGUGGAGUUCUAUACAACCAACCUUCUAGUUUAUCAUUUACUCAAAUAAUUUAUGUUAUAUGUUUAUAUUGUUUUUUAAAAGAUAAAUUAGUGUACAAAUAAAGACGUGAUCCUACAUUGAAUAAAAAUUCAAUAUUCUUGUGUUUAGCAACAAAACAAAAAAAGAGUUUGUACCGAAUGCAGAUAACCACUAGGAAUGAGACUAUCCAAAUGCUUUGCCAAGUGGUUAUGAGAGAAGUAAAUUACAUAUUUAGAAAACCAUAGAAAAGAGAAAGAGGAAAGAAUGAAUUAGAAAGAAAGAAUAUCAAAGAGAAAGAUAAGAAGAAAAAAUAACUGGAGAGUGAGAAAGAAGAAAAAAGAAAAGAGAAAAAAAAGAAAGAGAAGUAAAUAAGAGGGGAAUAAACUAUAUAUUUAUAUAUAAAAAAUAAAAGAGAAUAAGAUAGAAGAAGGAAGAAAGAAUAAGAAAUAAAGAAAAGGAAAGAGAAAGAGUAGAAGAAGAAAAAGAACAUGACAAAAGAAGAAAGAGCUUAAAGUCCCACACAGUGUUGUGAUUGCUUCAAAAUUAGAGUAUAAACAAUUUUUUAAAAUAUUUUUCCAACAAAACAUAUUAAAAAAGAGACACAAAAAUUUGAACUUUCUUAAUAAGUGUGAGAUAUUUACCUUCCAUUAUAAACAAUUACAGAGGAAUUAUAUAAUAAGAAAAGUAUGUGCCUGCGUGCUUCUAUAUGUCGUUAAAUAAAAUAAGCAACUAGAUUGAGACCCUUGCAAUGCACGGGUGUCGAAAAUUUGUAAACUCCCUUUAAAACCAUGUAUAUUGACUUUGGUAAUUUUGCGCUGAACAAUAUUUUUAUACUUUUGGAGUUUAUUUUAAAACUUCGAAGUAAAACAUAAAAAGAAUGUUAACUAAAUAAUUAUGAAGGAAGAAAUAAGAGUAUGUUGGAUUGAUAAAUGAUCAAGUUCUUCAGAGAAAAAUACAUGGAUGAGAGAUACCACGAUGUGCACUUUAAUUUAUCCCUUACAAAAAAAAAACUACUUACUAUGAAUUUACAUUUUUUUUUAAUAAUACUCUUGAAAUUUUUAAUUUCACUUAAAAAUAUAAUUAGCCUUACGAAAAAUGAAAUGGUUAAUUGUGGAUGUAUAUAGAGAAAUAAUAUUCAUACAGAAAAGGUUACAACGGUACUCACAACUUAAAUAAUUGGAAAUGCAUAACCAUUUCAAAAAUCUAUCUUAUUGAAUGUCUUCUAGAUUUAGGUUUAAUUAUUGCAACUAUUAGAAAAAAUAGAUGACUUUAUUUGUAAAUGCAUUUCUAAAAUAUAAAUGUUUAUUAUAAAUAUUAUUAAUACUUAUUUCACUAUUUAUUGGAAUAUGAAAGCUAUUUCACUUAUUUGAAUGACAUGUUUCUUAGUGUUGAAGAUGUUAGUGUUAUGAUAUAAAGUUAGUUCAUGAUUACAUUCUAUCAGAGUCAUUAUGACCAAGUUAUCUGGAGUUUGAUUUUUGUUGCGGCCGUUGUUGUAAAAAACAGAUUUAAGUUAUUAAUACACAAAUUAUGUAUCCAAAUCUUUACUACAAAUUUUCUAUAUUAAAAAGUAGAUUAUUGUAUUUUGAAAGAGACGAUUUUAAUUCUAGGAAAUAUGCAAAAUUCAUAUAAUGGAAUUGCCGUUAAGGAUCUAAUAUUAGCAUUAUUUACAGUACUUUUAAUUUUGGUUUAACUUGUUUAUAUGUUUCUUCCAUAUAAUUUAGAAGCAAUACUAUAAAACCCAUCAAACUACUCCUCCUAUACUACACUAUCAACUGGUACGUCAUGUGGAACUGAGUGGAGUUCUAUACAACCAACCUUCUAGUUUAUCAUUUACUCAAAUAAUUUAUGUUAUAUGUUUAUAUUGUUUUUUAAAAGAUAAAUUAGUGUACAAAUAAAGACGUGAUCCUACAUUGAAUAAAAAUUCAAUAUUCUUGUGUUUAGCAACAAAAAAAAGAGAUUGUCCCGAAUGCAGAUAACCACU
rnacentral:lncRNA from 1 species